rnacentral:rRNA from 1 species
UGGGGAAUAUUGGACAAUGGGCGAAAGCCUGAUCCAGCCAUGCCGCGUGUGUGAAGAAGGUCUUCGGAUUGUAAAGCACUUUGAGUUGGGAGGAAGGGCAUUAACCUAAUACGUUAGUGUUUUGACGUUACCGACAGAAUAAGCACCGGCUAACUCUGUGCCAGCAGCCGCGGUAAUACAGAGGGUGCAAGCGUUAAUCGGAAUUACUGGGCGUAAAGCGCGCGUAGGUGGUUUGUUAAGUUGGAUGUGAAAGCCCCGGGCUCAACCUGGGAACUGCAUCCAAAACUGGCAAGCUAGAGUACGGUAGAGGGUGGUGGAAUUUCCUGUGUAGCGGUGAAAUGCGUAGAUAUAGGAAGGAACACCAGUGGCGAAGGCGACCACCUGGACUGAUACUGACACUGAGGUGCGAAAGCGUGGGGAGCAAACA